rnacentral:rRNA from 1 species
UACGUAGGGUGCGAGCGUUGUCCGGAAUUAUUGGGCGUAAAGAGCUUGUAGGCGGUUUGUCGCGUCUGCUGUGAAAAUCCGGGGCUCAACCCCGGACUUGCAGUGGGUACGGGCAGACUAGAGUGUGGUAGGGGAGACUGGAAUUCCUGGUGUAGCGGUGAAAUGCGCAGAUAUCAGGAGGAACACCGAUGGCGAAGGCGGCUCUCUGGGACGGUACUGACGCUGAGACGCGAAAGCGUGGGGAGCGAACAGG